GACGAACCGUGCGAACGUUAUUCGGAAUCACUGGGCUUAAAGCGCGUGUAGGCGGGAGGGCACGUCCGACGUUGAAAGCCCCCGGCUCAACCGGGGAACGGGCGCGGAUACGACCUUCCUGGAGGGACGUAGGGGGACCUGGAACUUCCGGUGGAGCGGUGAAAUGCGUUGAGAUCGGAAGGAACGCCCGUGGCGAAAGCGACGUGCUGGACCUCAUCUGACGCUGAGGCGCGAAAGCCAGGGUAGCAAACAGG
rnacentral:rRNA from 1 species